AAUGGACCUGAAGAAGAUAAGAGUAUCAACUAUCAUAACUGAUAUAUCCUUUUUUUUUUUUAACAAAAUUUCAGAAAUUAGCAGGGAGUCAAGCUCUUACACGUUUGACAGAAAAAGAAAAGUUCUUACACGAAAUCUAAGCAAGUUUUAUUGUCGAAAAUCAAAUUUUAGCAUGCCUGAUUUGACUUUAAUUGUUCAUUGUUAAUAAAUCCUCUACUCUUUCCUGAACCUGAAAGUCCAAUAUUCUCUACCCAUUUUCGUUAUCCUUUCAACUUUGUCUGAAGCAUUUUAUCUGAUGAAAUUCCUAUUCUCUACCCUUUUUCAUUAUCUUUCUCCUCCAAUCAAUUAUUAUUCUCUUUAUUUAUUCUUCCUUUAGCCACUUGCUGGAUUCAGAAAGAUGACAUGGGUGCCUUAUUUUCACCACAUCUUCAGCCUAAAGAUUAGGAACGAAAAAAGUUCUUGUUAGCAUACGUGGGAUUAGCAGGUAGCAGCAGCAAGCAACAGCAUCAUGAUCACUAGAAGAUAAUCUAAAUUUCCAUAUCAUCCAAAAUUUUCCAGAAAACCAUCACUGGUUAAUAAGACCAUUAGCAGCAGUACAAGUCAAGCAAAGGGUUCUGAGAAGAACAAAUCUAUCCACCAGAAAUAUAUACAUAUGCUAUUAUUCCUGAUAAUUUUUCUACCUUUGGAACAGUCCAAGAAGGCACAAUUUGCAAUGCAAGACUGCGGAUUAAAGCGAAAGAUAGCCAUCUUAUAUGACAAAUUAUUUCAAUUAUUAUGCAUGAACAUGAGAAGUAGAAAAGCACUGUGAAUGGAGCCAACAGAACAUCUCUCUCUCUCUCUGCUCACUGAUUGAGAUUGAUGUUCUUUUAUGGAGUUAUUAUAAUGUACAUAUAGCAAGUAAAGGUUUAUGAUACAUGUAAAGAGUGUACUCAGUGUUUAAGCUCUAAGAAUAAAAAAACUGUACGUGUUGAUUGUAAGAUACAUGAAUCCGCCUCUUCUGGAGGGUUUCAUAUUAUUUUUUAUUUUAAUAAUUUAUUAAUAAUGAUUAGAUAUUAAA